GCUGCUGACCCAAAAUGAGCGCACAAAAAAGGAAAUCCUUCAGGGUUGGUCAAGUAUUUAGAAAACGAAGCAGUAAAAUCGUACUCGGUUGCUGAGGUUGCCAAAAAUAUGAUCAAUGUAGUUUUUUACCUGUUGAACCAUUACGAUAACAACAUACAACCAAUGGCAUUCCGGAAUUGGCAGCGUGCUGUCUUCGAUGCGUUUGCGACUCAUGUACUGCCUAACUUCGCUUUCGUCUUCGAUAGCAACAAAAAUGCCUAUUCAUCCCUUCAGGUUCCGGCUGAUCCGGAAAAGAACAUUCACAGUGGAGUUUAAGGAAGCGCGGUCGUCGUUGAUUUGAGAUUCCUCAAAAAAUAUCUUCAAAAUGAAAAUUUGGAUAAACUUGGAAAGAACAACAACAAUCUUAACGAACCACUUCAACGGUGGGAGGAACUAGAACUCAACAACUAUCAUAAAUGCAUGGAGAUCAAUUGAUGGCCGGAUUAUUUAUGGGAUAAUGUACGCCGACAACAGUGUGGUCAAACUGAGGCAUAUGGAGAGCGGAUGAAAAAAAAAUCACUGUCCCAAAUACAGAUAUCACAAAAAGGUCCCCUUCUUGUGGGCCAUUCUGAAUUUAGAUGAACGAACAUCGCCAAAUAAUGUUCAGGAAUUUAAUAGCAGUAUUUUCCAAUUGUCCAUGUUACCAGUCAAUAUGAAUACACAUUACAAACAACCGAAUGUACACCAACGCCAAUGGACGAGAAGAAGCGAACGGAUGCUAGCACCAUCGCCAACAUUUGG